AACAAAACCAGUACUCAGAACUUUUCUCCUGGAGUGGAGAAAUAGUCAUACAUGCUCUGGGUAGAUGGAAUCUAGAAAACAGAACUUCUAAAUGAAUGAAAAGGUUUUCUUGCACAACUUAAAUUUUUAAUUUAAAAAGAAUUAUUACCUCAUUUUUUUUUUCACUCCGCAAAGUGCUUUGCUUAAGUGUCUGGGCUGUCAGACCCUGUGAUUAAAACCCCCUUCACCCAAACGUCUUUGAAUAUGCAGAAUGCCCAGCGGAAGGGAGUGUGAGUGCUGGGCGGGGCUUGGGUGCUGGGCGGGGCUUGGGUGCUGGGCGGGGCUUGGGUGCUGGGCGGAGUUUUUCUUUUUUUCCCAGCAACUGGGUGAACGGGUGUCCUUUCUUUCAGCACAUGUGAGCAAAGCACUCAGUAUUUAAUUCCUGACAGAAAGGGAAGUUCUGCAGUUUGAUUGGUGAGAGAGACUAUGACUAUGGGCUGCUAAAACCAUCAUUUGAUGGCUAUCAUUUGAUCUCAGUAGUUCUUGAUUUAUUGGCGUGUUUUAGCUCUAAUCAUGAGAAACAGUAGUCAUUUUAAUCUUAAAUUUUCCCUCAGGACAUUCAGGGACGCCAAGCCGCGCACCCCCACCCCCACACUCCUAGUAACCAUUUAUUCUCUUGGAGUAAACUUUCAGUCUAGUGGUGAACAUUUUUCAUCUGGAAAGAGCUUAGCUGCUGUUUCACUGAAAUUGUGAAAUAAAAUGAUGAUAAUGACUUUUCCCAGUUAUGAGACAGCUUUCCAUUUCUCCAGGCUGCCCUCUCACAGAACACAGUUUAAGAUAAGGAAAGAGCAGGCUCCUGGCUGUUCCAGCCUCACGGUCUCCAUUAUUCUAUCGGGAGUGUAAGGAUCGUAAUUGCACUUUCUCGUGUUCACACAUAACUUGGUGCUUUUUAACAGUAAAGAGAAAGCAGGCCCCGGACUCAUUGUACUUUUAUCUGGGAUUGUAAAACUCUUUAAAUGUGCGUGUAUGUUCACUUUAUAAGAUUUCGAUAUACGUUAAUAAUCCAUUACAUCUCAGGCUCUGCGAGUGGUCUGACGUAUCCUUGCCAAGCAGCUUGGUUCAGUGUGGUAUUAUCCAUGAGAUCGAGGCAGGAUCUCACCUCUCUGUGGGCCCUCUGAUGUUUACAGAGGGGAAACCGUGACUUUCCUAUCACAUGCUUCUUCUGAACCCUAAGUAAGAAACUGAUGCCUGCGCCAUUGCUCCGAUACUUAAGUGCUAACCAAGAAACUGUAAAAGCAAAUACCAAAAGCAUUUCACUCUGUCACGCCCCACAAAAGAGUCUAAGCUUGUUUGAUUAUGAGGUUGUUGAAAGAACAUGGUUUUCGGAUUUUAACAUUUUCCGCUAUCAUUGAAUGCUUCUUUUAUAUGUUAGGUCAUGUUCAUGAUUUUUAUUUCUGCAAUUGUGUUCUAAUGAAUUGUGUGCACGCCAGCUUACCCAAGGAAAAAACAUGCAGUUUGCUCUGGGCUGUUAAUCUGUUAGAGAGGUUCCGGCUCAUUUGCAAUCAUGGUGCAAUAUAGCAUGAUAUCCAUUUGUUUUCAGUCCACAGUUUUAUUUUUGUCAUAAUAAAUACUUUUCCAAUAUG
rnacentral:lncRNA from 1 species